rnacentral:rRNA from 1 species
AAUGAACGCUGGCGGCAUGCCUAACACAUGCAAGUCGAACGAAGGCUUCGGCCUUAGUGGCGCACGGGUGCGUAACGCGUGGGAAGCGGCACUUGGGUUCGGAAUAACAGUUAGAAAUGACUGAUAAUACCGGAUGAUGUCGUAAGACCAAAGAUAUAUCGCCCUAGGAUGAGCCCGCGUAGGAUUAGCUAGUUGGUGUGGUAAAGGCCUACCACGGCGACGAUCCUUAGCUGGUCUGAGAGGCUGAGCAGCCACUCUUGGACGAGGACACGGCCCGGACUCCUACGCGAGGCAGCAGUGCGUGAUAGUGGACAACCGCCUAAGUCCUGAUGCACUACUGCCGGUUGAGUGAUGUUGGUCUUAGAGUUGUAAAGCUCUUUUACCCGGGAUCAUAAUGACGGUACCGGGAGAAUAAGCUCCGGCUAACUUCGUG